AGGUCUUCCUGGGUAGGAUUAGUGAUUUGGUGGCUGUCAAGGAAGGUCAUGAGCCCUUGUUUCUUUAGGUACAUCCUGAAGGUAAAUUUGUUGUAGACGUGGACAAAAACAUUGACAUCAAUGAUGUGACACCCAAUUGCCGGGUGGCUCUAAGGAAUGACAGCUACACUCUGCACAAGAUCCUGCCCAACAAAGUAGACCCAUUAGUGUCACUGAUGAUGGUGGAGAAAGUACCAGAUUCAACUUACGAGAUGAUUGGUGGACUGGACAAACAGAUCAAGGAGAUCAAAGAAGUGAUCGAGCUGCCUGUUAAGCAUCCUGAGCUCUUCGAAGCACUGGGCAUUGCUCAGCCCAAGGGAGUGCUGCUGUAUGGACCUCCAGGCACUGGGAAGACACUGUUGGCCCGGGCUGUGGCUCAUCAUACGGACUGUACCUUUAUUCGUGUCUCUGGCUCUGAAUUGGUACAGAAAUUCAUAGGGGAAGGGGCAAGAAUGGUGAGGGAGCUGUUUGUCAUGGCACGGGAACAUGCUCCGUCUAUCAUCUUCAUGGACGAAAUCGACUCCAUCGGCUCCUCGCGGCUGGAGGGGGGUUCUGGAGGGGACAGUGAAGUGCAGCGCACGAUGCUGGAGUUGCUCAACCAGCUCGACGGCUUUGAGGCCACCAAGAACAUCAAGGUUAUCAUGGCUACUAAUAGGAUUGAUAUCCUGGACUCGGCACUGCUUCGCCCAGGGCGCAUUGACAGAAAAAUUGAAUUCCCACCCCCCAAUGAGGA
rnacentral:sRNA from 1 species